AUUGAACGCUGGCGGCAGGCCUAACACAUGCAAGUCGAACGAGUGGCGGACGGGUGAGUAAUGUCUGGGAAACUGCCCGAUGGAGGGGGAUAACUACUGGAAACGGUAGCUAAUACCGCAUACCAUCGGAUGUGCCCAGAUGGGAUUAGCUAGUAGGUGGGGUAACGGCUAACCUAGGCGACGAUCCCUAGCUGGUCUGAGAGGAUGAGCAGCCACACAGGAACUGAGACACGGUCCAGACUCCUAAGGGAGGCAGAAGUGGGGAAUAGUGCACAAUGGGCGCAAGCCUGAUGCAGACAUGCCGCGUGUAUGAAGAAGGCCUUAGGGUUGUAAAGUACGUUAAGCGAGGAGGCGGUACUCGCAGAAGAAGCACCGGCUAACUCCGUGCCAGCAGCCGCGGUAAUUC
rnacentral:rRNA from 1 species